GAUGAAGAACGCAGCAAAAUGCGAUAAGUAAUGUGAAUUGCAGAAUUCAGUGAAUCAUCGAAUCUUUGAACGCACAUUGCGCCCGCUGGUAUUCCGGCGGGCAUGCCUGUCCGAGCGUCAUCUCAACCCUCGAGCCCCCCCGGGGGCUCGGCGUUGGGGACCGGCCCCGCCCCAGGGCGCGCCGCCCCCCAAAUCCAGUGGCGGUCCCGCCGCAGCCUCCCCUGCGCAGUAGCUUGCACACUCGCACCGGAGAGCGGCGCGGCCACGCCGUAAAACCCCCCGACCACGGAGCCCCGGCUCCUGAACGUUGACCUCGGAUCAGGUAGGAAUACCCGCUGAACUUAAGCAUAUCAAUAAGCGGAGGA
rnacentral:misc_RNA from 1 species